rnacentral:rRNA from 1 species
AUUGAACGCUGGCGGCAUGCCUUACACAUGCAAGUCGAACGGCAGCACGGGGCAACCUGGUGGCGAGUGGCGAACGGGUGAGUAAUGCAUCGGAACGUACCUUUCAGUGGGGGAUAACGUAGCGAAAGUUACGCUAAUACCGCAUAUUCUGUGAGCAGGAAAGCAGGGGAUCGCAAGACCUUGCGUUGAUUGAGCGGCCGAUGUCAGAUUAGCUAGUUGGUGAGGAAAAGGCUGACCAAGGCGACGACCUGUAGCGGGUCUGAGAGGAUGAUCCGCCACACGGGACCAGAGACACGGUCCAGACUCCUACGGGGUGCAGCAGUGGGGAAUUUUGGACAAUGGGGGCAACCCUGAUCCAGCCAUGCCGCGUGAGUGAAGAAGGCCUUCGGGUUGUAAAGCUCUUUCGGCCGGGAAGAAGUCGCACGGGCUAAUACCCUGUGUGGAUGACGGUACCGGAAUAAGAAGCACCGGCUAACUACGUGCCAGCCGCCGCAGUAACAC